AGAAAAGCACUGCAGACCUCCUUUUCUGCGCACCCCCUGCUCGCCGCCAUGGUUGCUCCCACCGCCAGCUGUCAACCUCUCCCAAUCGCGCUGGUGACGUCACAGCCACGACGUCAUCGCACGUGCCGCAGUCACGUGACGCCGUCCACAGGUGUGUCAGUCACCGGACGUGCAUGGUCGAAAACACACUCUCCAGAAGAAACAUUUGAUUACAUUCGACUAGUUCCUGAUGCGGAUGACGAUUACGCGUUCUUCUAUCUUAUUUUGGUGUUUUAUGUUACGUCAUUAGGCCUAGAGUGAUGUCGACCGCAACUACCUGGAAUAGUCAACCGAUCAACUGUUGCUUGUAACGUCAGCGUGUAUUCUUGGGUGUAUAACACUACAUGUAUAUGGAUGUUAUUGCUUGAGAAUACACGUUGAAGUCAAGUUGUCAGCGACGAAUGUUCGACCGACGAAAAAAAAAGCAUCAAUCAGAUGACGCAAAGUGGAGUUGCUCUGAUUGAAGUACGGUUUCUUAUUUCUUUUGAAGGAGACGUAGAAACAUCACCUGUACAGUAAAAAAAGAAUCUGUUUGUUAUGUUUAAACUACGACAGGUGAUCUGCCGAUCAACUAAUUGGAAAUUUGAUCGCUGUCCGGAAAGAGAUGUACACUUACUUCGAUAAAUAUCUAAUCUGGUAUAUAGUAUCAAAGUACUGUACUUUCUUCUUCUUAUGCAUUAUUUUUGAAGUACCGAAUUAUAAUGAAAGCCAUCAUAAUAAUGUUCAGAAGACUAUUCUCAAAAUUCUGAAUUUAUGUGAUUCGUCCGAAGAGUGCCGAUUUAUUAUAAUAAAUCUAUAUAUAAAAUAUUAAUUCAUAAAAAAAAAAACUGUAAACGAUAGUUCAGAUUAUUAAUAAAU
rnacentral:lncRNA from 1 species